rnacentral:lncRNA from 1 species
UUACGUUUUAAGAGGGAAAUGAGGGAAAAAACAACAAAUGGGAGUUGAAGAGGCGGGGGACCCAGCGCGUGAAAUCACGCAGGCCUAAUUAUUUGGUUUAUGUGUUGAGGUCAGCACUCAGGUGUGUAUAAAAUAGAGAAAUAAAAAUUUCAGGUGGGUAAUAGGACACCUGUAAAGUUAGAGUAUGUAGUUGAGAUUUCGGGUAUAGGUUGGGGGGUUUUAGACCAUUUUCUCGUUAGAAUAUAAUGAAAUAGUGAAAGGAAGAUCACA